rnacentral:lncRNA from 1 species
UGUUAUUCUACACAAAUUGUAAGUUACAUAAAUUAUACGAAAAUCGAAGAAACUGAAAGCGUAUAUCUUACAUAUAACUUCUUUGAUUGCAGUUUUUGUUGAUAGAUUACGAAGCUGAUCGCUUGAUCUACAUAUAACUUCUUGAAAGUCUUGGCAUCUACUCCCUUCUCUCUGGUUUGUAGGGCUUAAAUCUGAAAUC